rnacentral:lncRNA from 1 species
AUAAGCAUAUUAGAAGUUGCAGAUUACCCUCUUCUAAACUGAUAUUGUCCUUAGUAUUUUCUUUGUCCGCAAGUCCUAUCUUCUAUUUGUCUUGAGUGAUAUUAGACAUCUUUCCUCUUCUAAGUGUUAUCAUGGGAGAACUUCUUGAAAUGAAGAGUGCAAUGGCACAAAUGCAAGAGCAAUAGAGGGAGUUAAUGCUUGCAAUGCAUCAACUCAAUUUACCACCACAAGGAGCAACAAGAUUGGCAGGAA